rnacentral:ribozyme from 1 species
CAUACACACUGGUCAACGAAAAAAAGAGAAGACAAAAACAAACAACCGCCAGGAAGAAUAGCAUAAUCUUUGGUUGUUUGUUUGAAUAUCUUUUCCUU